GGGAGUAAGACCUGGGAAACUAGGGUCGUAAUACCGGAUAGGAGCGCCUACCGCAUGGUGGGUGUUGGUAAAGGAUUUAUCGGUUUUUUGGAUGGACUCGCGGCCUAUCAGCUUGUUGGUGAGGUAAUGGCUCACCAAGGCGACGACGGGUAGCCGGCCUGAGAGGGUGACCGGCCACACUGGGACUGAGACACGGCCCAGACUCCUACGGGAGGCAGCAGUGGGGAAUAUUGCACAAUGGGCGCAAGCCUGAUGCAGCGACGCCGCGUGAGGGAUGACGGCCUUCGGGUUGUAAACCUCUUUCAGUAGGGAAGAAGCGAAAGUGACGGUACCUGCAGAAGAAGCACCGGCUAACUACGUGC
rnacentral:rRNA from 1 species